GUAUUUAGAGGUGAUGGACCAUAGGCCUGUUGUUUAUUUUUGCAUAGCAAGGAACCGGAGGAUAAUUUCAGUGACUGGCAAGUGAUUAGAAAAGUCAGGUCAGUGGUGAUAUGUUAAUAUAACACCAUGAUGCAAAUAGGAGGAUUUGUCUUUAUAUGCAUCUUUCUUGCAUAUUGCAAACUGAUUCUACUGGUAUGUUUGUAUGUGUAUAAAUUUUGUUGAAAAUUAAAUCUUCAAUCAAUAAAUUGCAUCAUGACCAACUGCCGUGCUUGCUUGUUAAAAGUUUGUGGCAAAAUUUUUAUAGUGUUUUUCAUGGUACCACCUUGAAUUAAAAUCAUGAGAACAUUAGCAAUAUAAGCAUUGCCUAUACUUUCUUGCUCAAAAACGUUUGUUCUCUGUGUCUUAUGCUUGACCAUACUUAUUCAAUCCGUAGCUACAAGGAUGGAUCCAAGAUUCGAACUUUGGGAGGGCAAAUACAUAGAGAUAGUGGCCAAAUAGUAGCUGGCAGUGGGGGUGGCUGGAGGUAGCUGGUGGUGUGUUGUCAGAGAUUAGAGGGUCACGGGGUUUACAGGAGAUGACCGUCUGAUCGUCAGCCAAGUCAUCGGUGACCAAUGGUGGUUCAUUGUGGCUGCUGCUGCUGCUGCUGCUGCUGCUGCUGGUGGACACUGGCCGGAGGUAAUGUGGGAACACCACAGGUGAUGGGGGAGGGAAGUGAUUUUUUAUUUUUUUUUCAUUUUCAAAAAUUUUGUAAUUCAUUUUAUUUUUUAAAAAACAAAACAAUAAUAUAUCAAAUAAAUUUUGUUUUCCUUUUAAAAAAAAAAAAAA